AAAGCCCCCUUCGGGGGGCAAGUAGAGUGGCGCACGGGUGAGUAACACGUAGGUAAUCUACCUUUGGAUGGGGAAUAACAACCGGAAACGGUUGCUAAUACCGCAUAAUGCAGCGGCACCUAAUGGUGACAGUUGUUAAAGCGGGGGAUCGCAAGACCUCGCGUCUGAAGAGGAGCCUGCGGCAGAUUAGCUAGUUGGUAGGGUAACGGCUUACCAAGGCGAUGAUCUGUAGCCGGCCUGAGAGGGCGGUCGGCCACACUGACACUGACAUACGGGUCAGACUCCUACGGGAGGUAGCAGUCGGGAAUUUUGGGCAAUGGGCGAAAGCCUGACCCAGCAACGCCGCGUGAAGGAUGAAAUCCCUCGGGAUGUAAACUUCGCAAGAACGGGAAGAAUAAGCCGGUGUCAACACCACCGGCGAUGACGGUACCGUUUGUAAGCUCCGGCUAACUCCGUGCCAGCAGCCGCGGUAAUACGGGGGGAGCAAGCGUUGUUCGGAUUUACUGGGCGUAAAGGGCGCGUAGGCGGCCACCGCAAGUCGACUGUGAAAUCUCCGGGCUUAACCCGGAACGGUCAGCCGAUACUGCGGGGCUAGAGUGCAGAAGGGGCAACUGGAAUUCUCGGUGUAGCGGUGAAAUGCGUAGAUAUCGAGAGGAACACCUGCGGCGAAGGCGGGUUGCUGGGCUGACACUGACGCUGAGGCGCGAAAGCUAGGGGAGCGAACGGGAUUAGAUACCCCGGUAGUCCUAGCCUUAAACGAUGAAUGCUUGGUGUCUGGGGUUUUAUAGU
rnacentral:rRNA from 1 species